GCUGAAUCUCGUGGUAGGGAAGUAAGGAGCAGACCAUUCGUAAGAUCCACCAGGGCAGCAGUUGAAAGAAUGGAGGUGUACGAUUAUGUGCUGACCCUAAAAACGGACCAGCCAUUCCUCUCAGAGUUUCAGCAUUAUAGAACACUGUGC